rnacentral:lncRNA from 1 species
CCGCAUAGGAACAGCUCCAGUCCACAGCUCCCAGCGUGAGCGACGCAGAAGACGGGUGAUUUCUGCAUUUCCAUCUGAGCAGGCUUUUCUUCUUGGAGCUGAAACAGGCGCACUGGCGAGGGUUGUGAGGAAAGGUUUGCAGCCCCCUGCCUUGGUCUGCUAUAGCCAGUGACACGAUCAAUACCAGGGUGAGCAGCAGAGGAAGCUCAGGGAAGAUUAUGAAGAUGAGGGCCUUGCGCCACGUCCUUAGCCUCAGCUUUCUACUUGCUAAAAUGGAAAUAACAACAGUACCUACCUUACAGACCUGGCGUGAGGAUUAAAUUAUACCAGCAAAGUGCCUGGCACCUAGAAUUUGCCUGAGUUCUGAUCAAUGCUAAAAACACCAUUUAACAGUGCCCUUUCCUGCCUGGGAAGCCCACAAAGAUUUCGCUUUUCACUUAUUACUCAUCAAACUGACUCUGGUUCACAGUGGAAAAGAGAAGAAAAGCUGAUGGAGAAAUGGCAGUGAAGAAGGAGAACAAAAUGUCAGAGCAAUACUUUUGAGCGACUAUUGUGGAACUGGGAAGAACAAGAAAAUAAUAAAAAGAAAAAUAAAUCUUUACUGAAAUGUAGUGAUAGUGUUUCACUCGCAACCGCUUCUUCAAAUUGAGAUGCAGAAGAAAUGUGUAAAAAGCAAAACUGGUACAAAUCUUGAUUACAAUUUUGGAUCAGUUUAAGACAAUAUGGCUCAACAGAGCAAUUUACAUAGGCUAACAGAGCAAACUUGAGUUGGUAAUUUACUUUAUUGGAUACACAUUUCACCUACAAAAAAAAAAAAAGAAAGGAGGGAGGCAGGAACAAAAGCAGAAAGGAAGAAAGGGAUGUAGGGAGGGAGGGAAGGGAAAAAGAACAUAAAUCCAGGUUUGAGAUUAUAUAUAGAGCAGCUAUUAUCUCCCAAGUAAAGAUUUGGCCAUAAAUUACAAAUUAAUUUAGAAGUUGUGUAAUUUGGAUUUUCUUUUAGCGUUCAAAUUAAAGUCAAUAUUUAUCUUUUUGCACAUUGUUUCUUCAAGUCUGAUCCUUUCAUGUUUGCACUUUAUGUCCCAACUUUAUUUUCUACUCAAUCAAGCAUUAGAAAAGAGUAACAGCUUGUACAAUAUCACAAUGCAAUUGAAAAGUGAAGUUUUUCAGUAUUUGCAGACAUGUUAAUUAUAUUCCAAUUUUUGUAAGCAAUAAAGAGAAAAAUACUUGAAACUGGUAAUAUGCAGUUUACAUAGCAAAGAAAAGGUCAGUGAAGAAACAUCCUUCACUGACCUCUGAAACAAAUAUUAUAGAUUUUACACGCAGGAAACUUAUUACAUGCAAACUUUCUUUUGUAAGCAUUUGUAUUCUAAAAGUUGCAGCCACCUCUCUGCAUAUGUUAGAGGUAAGAAUAAAAAAGUUUUAAGUUCUUAAGCAUUGAAAAUGAUAAUUGAAUGGUACAGAGAGUUUCAUUAAUUGACCUUAGAGAUAGAAAAGAAAAUUUAGUUUCAAGACCCAAGUUCAUCUAAUUGUUGUUUAGUAUUAACAUUAUUGGAUAGUAGUAUUACUAUAUUGUUAAAUUUUACUUAAAUGGACAAAAUUGACUUUACCAUUUAAAUGUCUGCUUUAAUUUUUAAAAAUUCUAAACAUAAUAAAAAUUAAGUCCAUCUGGUGAAAUGUAAAAUGUUAACAUAAGACUUUCCUAUAAGUAUGAAUGAAAUAUUAAGUGAAGUUUUUUAGGUCAAUAAACAAUACAUAGUACAAAUUCAAUUUUGGUCAGUCUGGAACUUACCAAAAGAAUACUAGCACCAGUAUGUAUAAGAAAGAAUAAUCCUUAAUUAAUCUGUAUUUUUUCUAGUAUACCAUCCAUCCAUAAUACCUUGGGGAAAAAGUAUUCUCAAUAAAAUUAAAGCAGUAAUAAUUUCACACUCCCAAAAUACAUAAAUUUGUUGAAGCAAUCUGUCAGUUUCAAAAAUACAGGCAUUCACACCCACAAAAAUGACUUUUUUUAAGAGUAUAUGGGAAUUAUGCUUCACAUGAGUAAAACAGGGUUAGGUUAGCCCCAGUGUUUCAUUUUUAUAUGUAAGGCACGAAUAUCAGUCUAAAUUGACAGAGGGCAAUCUUCAAAUGUGUUAUGAGAGCCAGUGUCCCCUCUCCCUAGACCACUUGCAUCACACAUCAAUUUGAGCAUAUUUUAGGUAAGCAAAUUAUUAUUAAAUCUACAUUAAAUACUUUUUGGAACAAGGGAUGGUAUAAACAAACCUCUAUGUAAAAUUAAUUGUUUUGAUGCUAUAACGGUGAAAUAUUUGUGUGUUUUAAAAUCUCCAUAUAAGAAAACAUACAUGGAGAUACUGUUAAGCCAAAUGCAUGCACACAUACUGAGCACUGUCUGAGACAUUUGCAUUAGUUUUCUGAUGUACAACUUUACAACACUUCACAUGGUCGAAAUGUACUUUGAAAAAUAAAAGACCCAUUGUACCAGUAAGGGAAAUUGUAAACAGCUUUUUACUGCACUUCUAAUGCUAUUAAAAUAUAGAAUGUGUGGUCUCUUCUCUCUUCUACUAGUACUUUAGCAAUGUCAACUGGAAGUGCAUCCAUGAUCACUUUAUCCAGCUGUCUCUCUCUCACUCCCAGCAAACUCUUAGAUAUACUUGAUAAAUAUUUUCAUCUAAUUUGGUUCAUCUGUUGUUUUUAUUAACAACUAAUUUAAUAUCCUCUGUUCUGCAAUAUUUGCAAAAGUCAGUCUAUAGACGUGAAGCCAACAGGGACCCUCAGGCCUGUGCAUCAGGAUGGUGGGCUGCCUAAGUCCUCUGGGGACAGCAGUGCCAGAAGGAGUAUUGGACACAGUGACCCGACUGUAUGAGAUGAGAAAAAACAAAAACAGGAGGUCCGCAGUACUGAUGAACUAAUCUGUCACUCACAAGCUCAGGUCUGCAAAAAAAAGAAACGAAGCACUAAACAUGGCCAUAAGAGAUGGAAAUGCAAGUCUUCAUUUCUAAAUGAUAAUCAAACCAACGAUCAGAAACUGAUUAACUGUGUAAUUGAAUUGAAUUGAAAAUCAUCCCAUGAAUAACAAUCCAUCCUACCUUCAAGGGGUUAGGAAGCUAACUACAGGUAAUUGCUAUCAGAAAUCUGAUUUGAUUUCCAAAAAUUGUGUGAAUGAACCAAGUUUCUUCAUCUUGAUAUACUAGGCAGGGAGUUUGUUCUUCCAAGUACUAGACUGCUUAAUUGCUUGCUUGGGGGAGGAGAAAUCCUAGGGGAAAGGCAUAUAUGAGCAAUUUCUACUCUGUGAAGCCAGCGCUGUGUCCUGAGCUGGAUCAUGGCCAGAAACAGAAAAGUCUACUCUUCCCUACAGUGGAAGCAACUGUGGAUAUUUCAUCCUAGGAGUGAAUGAAAAAACCUAAAGCUCAUACUUCAUGGGAAUCUUUCAAUAUUCUGACUGAAAACUGGUUAUUUGCUCCUCCAACCCAAAGCCAUCUAGGAACAGCACUCAGAACAGGAAAAAAAAAAGACAAAAAUAAUAAUUAUUCCAAAACGUAUUUGAGCAGAAACAAACACAAACAUUUGCAUUAUUAAAUGGGCUUGUUCACACCUGCUGAGUAGAUAUAAGACGAUAUUUAAGACAAGAGCUAAAAAAUAAACCAUCCCUUUCUGGUUUUGAGUGACAGCAGAGCAAUAAAAAUUAUUUUCACAUUCUUUUCCCUAUUGUUAGAAGUAAUCAUUUGAGUAAAUACACUUAUCUGUGCUGUAACUAUUGAAAUGAAUCCACUUCAAAUAUGUAUACCACCUUUCUUUUUUAUAUUUCUAGAUAUGGUUUCAAUAUAGACUUUCUGACUUUUAUGGUAUACAUAUAGGACAAUAUUCUAUUCUUCUUUCCUUUUAAAUACUUACUGUUUCAAUUUCAAAUAAAAAAUCAGCAUUCUAGUUUGUACAUUUUAGCACAGAAAUGUUUACAACCUUCAGCACAAUUGCUUUUGUAAUUUACUGACUUGGCAUUUUGAGGCGUUUUUAACAAAUUAUGAGAAAUAACACCUUCAGAAAGCAUGUGACUACUUUGAUGCAACUAUUUACAAUGUAUUCAUAAGAAGUCAUUAACCUGUAGAGUUCUUAGACAUGUGGAACCUUUAACAAUUAUACUAAAGAGUACAUACAAAAUACAGAGCUAUGUAAUAAUAACUAAUUUUAAAUCCUGACAAAUUAGAAGUUAAGCCUACUAUCUGUAAAAAUAUGUCCUGAUUCAUUUUUUUAAGUAUAUACCUGAGCCUUUAAAAAGUAUAUGCCUUUACAAUUGAUUUCCAAUAAACAAUACUGAAUAACAAACUACAAGUGACUUUCCUGAUUUUUUCACCAGAAAUAUAUAGAAAAAGGAAAUCCUAUUCUUAUUAGAGAUUGAAGUACAGUAAUUCUGCACGGUAUUAAGAACCAUAACUAUGCCAUACAGAAGACAGG